AUCAAAUUUGAAACGACUCUCGGCAACGGAUAUCUCGGCUCUCGCAUCGAUGAAGAACGUAGCGAAAUGCGAUACUUGGUGUGAAUUGCAGAAUCCCGUGAACCAUCGAGUUUUUGAACGCAAGUUGCGCCCGAAGUCGUCAGGCCGAGGGCACGCCUGCCU
rnacentral:rRNA from 2 species